GGUCAAGCUACAAAGGGCGCAUGGUGAAUGCCUUGGCAUCAGGAGCCGAUGAAGGACGUGAUAAGCUGCGAUAAGCUUCGGGUAGGCGCACAUAGCCUGAGAUCCGAAGAUCUCCGAAUGAGGAAACUCACAUGGGAAACCCCAUGUAUCAUUAAGUGAAUACAUAGCUUAAUGAAGGUAACCCAGGGAACUGAAACAUCUAAGUACCUGGAGGAAGAGAAAGAAAAAUCGAUUUUCUUAGUAGCGGCGAGCGAAAGGGAAAGAGCCCAAACCGGAAACUUGUUUCCGGGGUUGUG
rnacentral:rRNA from 1 species